rnacentral:rRNA from 1 species
AGUAACGGCGAGUGAAGCGGGAAGAGCUCAAGCUUAAAAUCUCCUUGCAGUCUCUGCUCGGCGAAUUGUAGUCUAUUGAGACGUAGUCAGCGCGCAGGAUCCGGUCAAGUUCCUUGGAAGAGGACAGCAUGGAGGGUUACACUCCCGUCUCUGCCGGCAAAUGCACGCGUACGACGCGUCUUCUUUGAGUCGCGUUGUUUGGGAAUGCAGCGCAAAGCAGGUGGUAAAUUCCAUCUAAAGCUAAAUACCUGUGCGAGACCGAUAGCGAACAAGUACCGUGAGGGAAAGAUGAAAAGAACUUUGAAAAGAGAGUUAAAGAGUACCUGAAACUGCUGAAAGGGAAGCGAAUCGCGUCCGCUGUCCAUCCGUGGUGAACCGCUUCGGCGAUUCCCGCGGAGGAGUCAAAGUCAGUUUGGUGUCGAAGGUAAAGUCGACUGUGCGCGUAGCAUGGCUGACUUUCGGGUCCGGGCCCUACGAGAAACGUUGUGCGUAGCCUCGACGAGGACUGAGGCGAUAACAGCAACCGCGUGUGCUCCGUAAGUUUGUGCGGAGAUCGGAUAGGCAGGCCCUACCUCCUGGCGAGAUGCUCCACUAUACAUGAGCCGCAUGUACGCGAGCGGAUGCGCACGCACGCUGUUCGGGACUUUGAUAGAAUGG